GACACUUUGGCCGAGUGGUUAAGGCGCAGGCCUGCUAAGCCUGUGGGUUCGCCCGCCUGGUAUGUUCUGCUAUGAUAGUUGCAUAUACACCCCUCAGUAUCUAACAAUCUACAACAGGGUUCGAAUCCCAGAGGUGUCG
rnacentral:tRNA from 1 species